CUCACCACAAGCAGGAAACUUUUAUUAGCAUUGAUUACAUAUUUAAUUACAUAAAGAUUUUUUUUUGUUUAAACCUAGUUCAACGUGACCCAAGAUAGAAUAUGUAUAAUGGGAUUCACCUAUUAAAUAUAUGCAUCUUACAUAUUUGUGCCAAAUAUAUGAUAGACGGGCCUAGGCAAGAAUUUCAAAUUACACAAUAAAAAAAAAAAUUUAUACAAAUUGCUCAUUGAAUGAAUAGCAUACACUGUAUUUGCUUCCCUUACAUUGUCCCACAACUACAUGUGUGUACACUUUUGUUUUUCUAUGUGUAAAUUUUAUUAAACUAAAAAAAUAUUGAUAAGAAAUAGUUUUGAAGAAGAAUGUACCAUGGCUUUACCUUAGUGGCAGAGGAAGUGAGAGAAAUGGAAGCUGAU
rnacentral:misc_RNA from 1 species